rnacentral:rRNA from 1 species
AAAGGGCGCGUAGGCGGAUGAUACAGUCAGAUGUGAAAUUCCCGGGCUUAACCUGGGGGCUGCAUUUGAUACGUAUUGUCUAGAGUGAGGAAGAGGGUUGUGGAAUUCCCAGUGUAGAGGUGAAAUUCGUAGAUAUUGGGAAGAACACCGGUGGCGAAGGCGGCAACCUGGUCCUUUACUGACGCUGAGGCGCGAAAGCGUGGGGAGCAAACAGGAUUAGAUACCCCGGU